rnacentral:rRNA from 1 species
UACGUAGGGGGCAAGCGUUGUUCGGAAUUACUGGGCGUAAAGGGCGCGUAGGCGGCCUUGUAAGUCCUGUGUGAAAUCCCCCGGCUCAACUGGGGAACUGCACAGGAGACUGCUUGGCUUGAGUUCGGGAGAGGGAAGCGGAAUUCCGGGUGUAGCGGUGAAAUGCGUAGAGAUGUGGAGGAACACCAGUGGCGAAGGCGGCAUCCUGGACCGGUAUUGACGCUGAGGCGCGAAAGCCAGGGGAGCAAACGGG